rnacentral:sRNA from 10 species
AUAGUCAUGUCACCCUUGGCACGAGCGAUUGUCAGGGGUAGCUUUCUGCGCUUUUCAAAAAUCGGAAGAAAUUUGUACCUUUUGAGACGAAGGUUUGUAUACCGAGGAACGUGUUUAAGCGGAUACCGCAUCGCUCGGGGACGUCGUUCUCCUCGCGGUUCCGUGGCCUCA